UGAGUGCAGCCAGGUGUGACCCAAAAACCAAAACAAACAAAAAAAAUGCAUCACAGGACUAAGGAGCUAGCCAAGGGUGGCCUGUUGCGCCCCAAGCCUUGAGUUCUCCAGCCCGCAGAGUUGACCAACCAUCUCAAGGUGGCUCAGGAGCCCUAAGAGGUUCCUCUAGAAAAAAAGGUCGGGCAUCACUCUAGGGGCACUGCUAAUGCCAUGAAACAUCUCUGCUGGCCCUGGAAAGGGUGCACCACCUGAGGAGCACAUGGUAUUGGUGGGGAAACUGAGGCUUGGAACAGGUGAGCCACCCACAGGAGUGUGCAGGGCCAGGUUGUGAUGGGGGCAAUCUAGCACUGCCCUUAUCAAAGCCACCCUCAUCCCCAUUGGGGCCACUAGAAUAUGCUUGCCCCUGCCUGUGCAUUGCAUCCCCUUGGGCAAAGGGGCAGCUCUGCCUUCAGGUCUUCUGCCCCAUCUUGCCUCCUGCCACUGCUCAGCCUCAGGGGCCCAGUUCCAGGAUCCCACCUUCCCUCCUUCCUGUACCUGUAGGUCGGAGACCCUGAUCUGGAGGCUAGGACCAACAUCCCCUGGAGACACAGAGUACUGGGGACAUCUGCCCCCGGUUCCCCCAUUUUCUGUCCUGGACUCCUGCAAAGACUUAGGACAAGCUCGAACCCUGCACCUCACCUGCCGCUGGUCUCAUCAUCAAGCUACAGUGUGAGAGAAAGGAAUUGGGGGCAGAGGGAUCUCAACUCUCCUGGGGGCAGAGACAUGCCUCCCUCUCCCAUUUGUAGCUGUCCUCUUUAAGAACAGACCCUUGGGGGCCGGAGAGAUAGCAUAGAGGGCAUCAGGGUCAGGCUCUGGAGUUCUAAAGUUACUGAACUGGGUGAAAGAUGGUCUGAGAGGCUGCACAGCAGGGAGGGCGCUUGCCUUGUAU